rnacentral:rRNA from 1 species
UACGUAGGGUGCAAGCGUUGUCCGGAAUUAUUGGGCGUAAAGAGCUCGUAGGCGGUUUGUCGCGUCUGCUGUGAAAACCCAUGGCUCAACCAUGCGGUCUGCAGUCGAUACGGGCAGGCUAGAAUUCGGUAGGGGAGACUGGAAUUCCUGGUGUAGCGGUGAAAUGCGCAGAUAUCAGGAGGAACACCGGUGGCGAAGGCGGGUCUCUGGGCCGAUAUUGACGCUGAGGAGCGAAAGCGUGGGGAGCGAACAGG